AGAAGAGGAGACAGAUCGUGAGACUGGAGGUGAAAUCAGGUCAAGAUCUGAACGAUCCGGAAGUGAAGAAAGAGAUUUUAGCGAAGAUGGAGCAGAUCCUGAAGGAGAAGGGGAUUUCAGGAGAAGCUCAACUUUCAUGGAGAACCCAAUCCGAUGGGAAUGUCUUCCAGACGAAGGACCGGAAGAGUGACGCCCCUAAACAGAAUUUGCCUUUGAAAAGAAACUGUGAACAAGCUUUUAUUUAAUCAUGUUAGUUAUUUACUGGGCAAA